rnacentral:rRNA from 1 species
UUAAGUUAAUAAGGGCGCACGGUGGAUGCCUUGGCACUAGGAGCCGACGAAGGACGUGACAAACGACGAUAUGCCUUGGGUAGCUGUAAGUAAGCGAUGAUCCAGGGAUUUCCGAAUGGGGGAACCCAACAGGUAGUACCUGUUACCCACAUCUGUUAAGGAUGUGAGGAGGAAGACGCAGUGAACUGAAACAUCUAAGUAGCUGCAGGAAGAGAAAGCAAAAGCGAUUGCCUUAGUAGCGGCGAGCGAAACGGCAGNNNNNNNNNNNNNNNNNNNNNNNNNNNNNNNNNNNNNNNNNNNNNNNNNNNNNNNNNNNNNNNNNNNNNNNNNNNNNNNNNNNNNNNNNNNNNNNNNNNNAAACCGUGUGCCUACAACAAGUUCGAGCCCGUUAAUGGGUGAGAGCGUGCCUUUUGUAGAAUGAACCGGCGAGUUACGUUAUGAUGCGAGGUUAAGUUGAAGAGACGGAGCCGUAGGGAAACCGAGUCUGAAUAGGGCGCCUUAGUAUCAUGACGUAGACCCGAAACCAUGUGACCUACCCAUGAGCAGGUUGAAGGUGCGGUAAGACGCACUGGAGGACCGAACCAGGGCACGUUGAAAAGUGCUUGGAUGACUUGUGGGUAGCGGAGAAAUUCCAAACGAACUUGGAGAUAGCUGGUUCUCUCCGAAAUAGCUUUAGGGCUAGCGUCGACAUUAGAGAUUCUUGGAGGUAGAGCACUGUUUGGGUGAGGGGUCCAUCCCGGAUUACCAAUCUCAGAUAAACUCCGAAUGCCAAUGAAUUAUGGUCGGCAGUCAGACUGCGAGUGCUAAGAUCCGUAGUCGAAAGGGAAACAGCCCAGACCACCAGCUAAGGUCCCAAAAUAAUUGUUAAGUGGAAAAGGAUGUGGGGUUGCACAGACAACUAGGAUGUUAGCUUAGAAGCAGCUAUUCAUUCAAAGAGUGCGUAAUAGCUCACUAGUCGAGUGACCCUGCGCCGAAAAUGUACCGGGGCUAAAACAAUUUACCGAAGCUGUGGAUACCUUUAUAGGUAUGGUAGGAGAGCGUUCUAUGUGUGAUGAAGGUAUACCGUGAGGAGUGCUGGAACGCAUAGAAGUGAGAAUGCCGGUAUGAGUAGCGAAAGACAGGUGAGAAUCCUGUCCACCGUAAGACUAAGGUUUCCAGGGGAAGGCUCGUCCGCCCUGGGUUAGUCGGGACCUAAGGAGAGACCGAAAGGUGUAUCCGAUGGACAACAGGUUGAUAUUCCUGUACUAGAGUAUGUAGUGAUGGAGGGACGCAGUAGGCUAACUAAAGCAGACGAUUGGAAGAGUCUGUCUAAGCAGUGAGGUGUGAAUUGAGUCAAAUGCUUAAUUCUAUAACAUUGAGCUGUGAUGGGGAGCGAAGUUUAGUAGCGAAGUUAGUGACGUCACACUGCCAAGAAAAGCUUCUAGCGUUUAAACAUACUCUACCCGUACCGCAAACCGACACAGGUAGUCGAGGCGAGUAGCCUCAGGUGAGCGAGAGAACUCUCGUUAAGGAACUCGGCAAAAUGACCCCGUAACUUCGGGAGAAGGGGUGCUGACUUUAAGUCAGCCGCAGUGAAUAGGCCCAAGCAACUGUUUAUCAAAAACACAGCUCUCUGCUAAAUCGUAAGAUGAUGUAUAGGGGGUGACGCCUGCCCGGUGCUGGAAGGUUAAGAGGAGUGCUUAGCGUAAGCGAAGGUAUGAAUUGAAGCCCCAGUAAACGGCGGCCGUAACUAUAACGGUCCUAAGGUAGCGAAAUUCCUUGUCGGGUAAGUUCCGACCCGCACGAAAGGCGUAAUGAUUUGGGCACUGUCUCAACGAGAGACUCGGUGAAAUUUUAGUACCUGUGAAGAUGCAGGUUACCCGCGACAGGACGGAAAGACCCCAUGGAGCUUUACUGCAGUUUGAUAUUGAGUGUCUGUACCACAUGUACAGGAUAGGUAGGAGUCUAAGAGAUCGGGACGCCAGUUUCGAAGGAGACGCUGUUGGGAUACUACCCUUGUGUUAUGGCCACUCUAACCCAGAUAGGUGAUCCCUAUCGGAGACAGUGUCUGACGGGCAGUUUGACUGGGGCGGUCGCCUCCUAAAAGGUAACGGAGGCGCCCAAAGGUUCCCUCAGAAUGGUUGGAAAUCAUUCGCAGAGUGUAAAGGUAUAAGGGAGCUUGACUGCGAGAGCUACAACUCGAGCAGGGACGAAAGUCGGGCUUAGUGAUCCGGUGGUUCCGUAUGGAAGGGCCAUCGCUCAACGGAUAAAAGCUACCCUGGGGAUAACAGGCUUAUCUCCCCCAAGAGUUCACAUCGACGGGGAGGUUUGGCACCUCGAUGUCGGCUCGUCGCAUCCUGGGGCUGUAGUCGGUCCCAAGGGUUGGGCUGUUCGCCCAUUAAAGCGGCACGCGAGCUGGGUUCAGAACGUCGUGAGACAGUUCGGUCCCUAUCCGUCGCGGGCGUAGGAAAUUUGAGAGGAUCUGCUCCUAGUACGAGAGGACCAGAGUGGACUUACCGCUGGUGUACCAGUUGUCUUGCCAAAGGCAUCGCUGGGUAGCUAUGUAGGGAAGGGAUAAACGCUGAAAGCAUCUAAGUGUGAAACCCACCUCAAGAUGAGAUUUCCCAUGAUUAUAUAUCAGUAAGAGCCCUGAGAGAUGAUCAGGUAGAUAGGUUAGAAGUGGAAGUGUGGCGACACAUGUAGCGGACUAAUACUAAUAGCUCGAGGACUUAUCCAA